rnacentral:rRNA from 1 species
UACGAAGGGUGCGAACGUUGCUCGGAAUUAUUGGGCGUAAAGCGCACGUAGGCGGCUUUGCAAGUCGGAUGUGAAAUCUUAUGGCUUAACCAUAAAAGUGCAUCCGAAACUGCAGUGCUUGAGUACUUAAGAGGAUCGCGGAAUUCCCGGUGUAGAGGUGAAAUUCGUAGAUAUCGGGAGGAACACCAGUGGCGAAGGCGGCGAUCUGGGAAGAUACUGACGCUGAGGUGCGAAAGCGUGGGGAGCAAACAGG